GUCGCUGGGCGCACGCGGCGGCCCCCUCCUCCGGGCGGACGCGGCCACGCGGAGGGAGAAGCAGCAGGGAAGUUACACGGCACGAGACAACAAAACAGCCAGUGCCUGAGGUGACCUUACUUAAGGACCCUGGAACUGAAAACAGCUGAAACCCGGGCCCGCUCUCCAGAUCCUGAGCUAGUGCUUUCUCCCAUUGGACAAACAAGGCAAAAGAGGCAAGAGAGACAAAGGCUUGCAGCCUGGCAAAUCCAAUCCGAGAGCACAAAGCUCCCGCCUCAAGAUGAAGAGCCCUCUCUGAGUUCAACCUGCCUCCCGGUUGCCAUGGUUACCUCUUCAGUUUCCAGACAGAAACUUUUUGAAGUUCACAAUGUAUCCCAAAUUCUCUUCCCAGCAGGUGGGCUGGUUCAUGUCUGCAAUUUCAGUAAUGAUUCUACAGUUGCUGGAAAUCCAGCAUGUUGAGCCCACCUGUGAACCUCACACACUUGGGCAUGAACCUGACCUCGUUUUUGCCCAGCGCUCACAGCACAGCUGUGCUCCCUUUAAUGGAGGGUGUGGGGACACAGCUCGGAAGCCUGGGUCAUCUGGGAUCAGGAUUAAAUAUCCCACAACAUCCCGGCCACACUGCCCUUCACUCCCGCCCCUGCUCCUCUGCAACCCCACCCAGCACCACCCUUUCCACCGAGCUGCAGUCUACACAGGACCUUGUCUGCUGAAAACGAUCCGGGGAAAUGGAAACAUUUUCUCGACUUCUGAUUUGGUGCAGAUGAUCCUCACCAGGGUCCGAAUGUUCCCAAUUCCAUCAUCGAUCUACCAAUAAAUAUUUAGUAAGAAUU